rnacentral:rRNA from 1 species
UACGGAGGGUGCGAGCGUUAAUCGGAAUUACUGGGCGUAAAGCGCACGCAGGCGGUUUGUUAAGCUAGAUGUGAAAGCCCCGGGCUCAACCUGGGAUGGUAAUUUAGAACUGGCAGACUAGAGUCUUGGAGAGGGGAGUGGAAUUCCAGGUGUAGNGGUGANAUGCGUAGNUAUCUGGAGGAANNUCAGUGGCGAAGGCGACUCCCUGGNCANNGACUGACGCUNAUGUGCGAAAGUGUGNGUAGCGAACAGG